rfam:Sulfolobus solfataricus P2, complete genome.
GGACCCGUAGCUCAGCCAGGAUGGAGCGCCGGCCUCCUAACUUUCGGAAGAAAGCCGGUGGUCGCGGGUUCGAAUCCCGCCGGGUCCG